CCUACGGGUGGCUGCAGUGAGGAAUAUUGGUCAAUGGACGAGAGUCUGAACCAGCCAAGUAGCGUGAAGGAUGACUGCCCUAUGGGUUGUAAACUUCUUUUAUAUGGGAAUAAAAUGUUCCACGUGUGGGAUUUUGUAUGUACCCUAUGAAUAAGGAACGGCUAACUCCGCGCCAGCAGCCGCGGUAAUACGGAGGAUCCGAGCGUUAUCCGGAUUUAUUGGGUUUAAAGGGAGCGUAGGUGGAUUGUUAAGUCAGUUGUGAAAGUUUGCGGCUCAACCGUAAAAUUGCAGUUGAAACUGGCAGUCUUGAGUACAGUAGAGGUGGGCGGAAUUCGUGGUGUAGCGGUGAAAUGCUUAGAUAUCACGAAGAACUCCGAUUGCGAAGGCAGUUCACUGGACUGCAACUGACACUGAGGCUCGAAAGUGUGGGUAUCAAACAGGAUUAGAUAUCCGAGUAGUC
rnacentral:rRNA from 1 species